GACGAACGCUGGCGGCGUGCUUAACACAUGCAAGUCGAACGGAAAGGCCCUGCUUUUGUGGGGUGCUCGAGUGGCGAACGGGUGAGUAACACGUGAGUAACCUGCCCUUGACUUUGGGAUAACUUCAGGAAACUGGGGCUAAUACCGGAUAGGAGAUCCUGCUGCAUGGUGGGGGUUGGAAAGUUUCGGUGGUUGGGGAUGGACGCGCGGCUUAUCAGCUUGUUGGUGGGGUAGUGGCUUACCAAGGCUUUGACGGGUAGCCGGCCUGCGAGGGUGACCGGCCACAUUGGGACUGAGAUGCGGCCCAGACUGCUACGGGAGGCAGCAGUGCGAAAUAGUGCACGAUGGGCGGAAGCCUGAUGCAGCAACGCCGCGUGCGGGAUGACGGCCUUCGGGUUGUAAACCGCUUUCGCCUGUGACGAAGCGUGAGUGACGGUAAUGGGUAAAGAAGCACCGGCUAACUACGUG
rnacentral:rRNA from 1 species